rnacentral:rRNA from 1 species
AGAGUUUGAUCAUGGCUCAGAACGAACGCUGGCGGCAGGCUUAACACAUGCAAGUCGAGCGCCCCGCAAGGGGAGCGGCAGACGGGUGAGUAACGCGUGGGAACGUACCUUUUGCUACGGAAUAACUCAGGGAAACUUGUGCUAAUACCGUAUGUGCCCUUCGGGGGAAAGAUUUAUCGGCAAAGGAUCGGCCCGCGUUGGAUUAGCUAGUUGGUGAGGUAAAGGCUCACCAAGGCGACGAUCCAUAGCUGGUCUGAGAGGAUGAUCAGCCACACUGGGACUGAGGCACGGCCCAGACUCCUACGGGAGGCAGCAGUGGGGAAUAUUGGACAAUGGGCGCAAGCCUGAUCCAGCCAUGCCGCGUGAGUGAUGAAGGCCCUAGGGUUGUAAAGCUCUUUCACCGGUGAAGAUAAUGACGGUAACCGGAGAAGAAGCCCCGGCUAACUUCGUGCCAGCAGCCGCGGUAAUACGAAGGGGGCUAGCGUUGUUCGGAUUUACUGGGCGUAAAGCGCACGUAGGCGGACUUUUAAGUCAGGGGUGAAAUCCCGGGGCUCAACCCCGGAACUGCCUUUGAUACUGGAAGUCUUGAGUAUGGUAGAGGUGAGUGGAAUUCCGAGUGUAGAGGUGAAAUUCGUAGAUAUUCGGAGGAACACCAGUGGCGAAGGCGGCUCACUGGACCAUUACUGACGCUGAGGUGCGAAAGCGUGGGGAGCAAACA